rnacentral:piRNA from 1 species
UCUUUCAAUUCUUAGUUGUUGACCUUGACC